rnacentral:rRNA from 1 species
UACAGAGGGGGCGAGCGUUGUUCGGAAUUACUGGGCGUAAAGGGCGCGUAGGCGGCCAACUAAGCCAGACGUGAAAUCCCUCGGCUCAACCGGGGAACUGCGUCUGAUACUGGAUGGCUUGAAUUCGGGAGAGGGAUGCGGAAUUCCAGGUGUAGCGGUGAAAUGCGUAGAUAUCUGGAGGAACACCGGUGGCGAAGGCGGCAUCCUGGACCGAGAUUGACGCUGAUGCGCGAAAGCCAGGGGAGCAAACGGG